CUUUCUUGUGCUUUGUCCCUCCCCUUUCCCAGGUGAUUGGGUUUGGGUGCUGGGUGGGACCAAAAGGUAUAUGAACCCCAGGCAUGCCAUCAGAUAGCUCUUUCUGCCUGGGCUGCUCUUUGGGCCCAGGGCAUAGACAUGGAAACUUAAAUGAAGCUUGAGGGUGAGUGGACAGCAGAGGGGACCCUGAGUUGUUCGGUGGACUGUGUUAGUCAGUUUCAUGUUGGGCUGGCUUUGCAAGCGCCUUGCAACAGCGGAGUAUGUCUCCUGCCACAUUUCUGAGGAAUGCCAGAUGUCAGCGGUUCCAGUUCCUGAAAUGCUGGAGAUGCUCAGAGCGCAAGAGGAGCUGGGAGCAUGAUGUAUCUCCUUGGGAUGUUAGGUGAAGAGGAGCCUUGUGCCUGAAGCAAUGUCCUGGCUAGCCUUUGUGUUCCUUGGUGAGGAUGGAACAUGCUUCCCAGCAUUACCAAGCUAAGUUGGGGGGCAAGUGCUAUGUUUGAGUUGGGGUUGUGAAUGCACCCAUAGGGUGCGGGUCUGUGCUUUUAAGUCACUGCAGCAGAUGGGGCCUUUCAGGAUUCAUCAGGUCAGGCAGAGAGAUGAUGUGUAGGCAGUUGUGUCACGUACAGCAUGAAGCCAUGCCAGGCAGGGCAGUCCCAGCUUGUCAUCUGUGUUCUGUGUUGCCUGUGCUGUUGCUCUUGGUGCUCAGCCCAGAUGACUUCUGCAAGAGUGAGGAUGGAAACAUGCGAUCUCAAACCGAAUGUGAUGCACAAGACCUGAAAGAGAUCUGCACUUCAAGCAGCAACUGCAAGACAAGAAAUGCUCAGAUCAGAGCCAUGAUGACAAAACAAGCAUUGAGGCCCUUCAGGACAGCUUCCAAGUCGCUUGUCUAGUCAGUCCAGUGUAAAAAGCUAGGAGGAUAUCAAGACCUAAGAAGCACAGAACAAACAUUGCAGAAGCAACACUACAGGACAGACAAACAGAAGGAAACUGUCCUGCCUGGCGCGCACACUCACGCUACAAAAUAAUCCCACUUCUUCUGUUAGCCUGCUGACCCAGCCACAAGCAGCCUGAACAUGACCCAGCCUGGACCACCCUCACAGUGGCACCAAGUAUCUUCAGCCAGCUGGCUCCAUGUUGCUCUGGCUCCCAGCUCCCAUUAGCCACCCCAGAUAUGCAAAUAUCAGGUGCUCCCCAGUUUAGCUCUCAGAUUGCUGGAUGGUGAAUUCCCUCCACCUCAAGAAAUGCACAGGCACUGAUUGUCAUCUUAGUCAAUUGCCAGGCUCAUCAUCAGCUGCAAAAACAGAGUAUCAGCAUUCAGUAGCAUGCCAGCCCCAAUGCCCACCUUCUCCACAAUGCUGAUUACUAUUGAUGCAACAUAUGAUUGUGCUCACCUGUUCCUCUCUGAGUCCAAGCUCCAACAGUACAGCCAGCAUCAUCCACACCACCUGGGAAAACAAAGGGAUUAAAUGAUUAUUGCAUUCACAACACAUCACCCAAUGAUGUUUGUUUGUUGUUUUUAGUGUGUUCCAUUUUUUUAUUAUUAAUAAUCUGCUUUUGCUCAACAGCAUACAGAGUGCAAACAAGAGAACUGGGGUGUUUCUAGAAGCAACAAUCCCCAUGCUUUUGCUGCGGCUUUGAAUAUUAAAAGGACAAUACAACCAAGCAAAGAAAUGGAACUUUCUUAACUGGAAUUAGCUCAAACUUUUCUUUACAUUGCAAGAAAAACCUAGGAGCAGAACAGAUUAUACACCAACAAAAUCAAUUCCAUUUUAGGAAAAAUCACAUACUCUCAUCCCCUCCUGUACCUCAGCCGCUUGCCUGCCCCAUGUGGCAGAUGCUUCCAUCUUUUCUCUUCACCCACUUAUAGCACCUCUAAAAGGUAAACUGGAAUUUUACUCUAUUGGAUGUAGGAAAAUAACUGCAGUGACAACCACACCUCAAAAAUUAACAGCUAUCUCUGCUUAUCACACACCAGAGUCACUCCAGAGGCAGCUUGGGUCGAGAUAUCCUGCACUGCGCAGUGCAUUUCAGCCUGAACAAAGAACACACAGGCAGAAAAUAAACAUUCAGCUGCCAGCAGUAGCACCCACCCCUCAACAACAUAAGCGACCCCAUCUUUAGUUUUAACCUUUCAAAACAGCAGGCCACUUGCCUCUGUACCUGCAAAUUAGGUCCAAGCUUGAAAGGAGCAGCCAGCAUCACCCAUGCCACCUGGGAACACAAAAGGACAAAAUGACCACUGUGCUUGCAAGCACCCACCUGCCACACUGCUCCUCUAUCCCAAACAGCCUCACCUCGUUCCCCAGAGGGAAACACCUGAGUGUCUUCCCUUCGCUUCGGAUAAGGGAUGACCACGCUGACAACACUAACCUUCCCUCAGUGCUUUGUGACAUGAGCAUUUCCCUUCCCUGUCUACGACUGCACAAAGUACCUGCAAAGACAAGAGAAAAGCACACUCUCAGGCACCUCACAGCCACAGCGUACCUGCUGCAAUACCUCUCUCU